rnacentral:ribozyme from 1 species
CAAGUAGAAUGAAAAAUGAAGAAGUAACCAGGAUUGUUGUAUUUAAUGUUUCUUUGUGGUCCUUUUGUGUUUUUUAUUUGUCUUCCUUGUUUUUGUUAC